rnacentral:rRNA from 1 species
AAGUCGUAACAAGGUCUCCGUUGGUGAACCAGCGGAGGGAUCAUUACCGAGUUUACAACUCCCAAACCCAUGUGAACAUACCUACUGUUGCUUCGGCGGGAUUGCCCCGGGCGCCUCGUGUGCCCCGGACCAGGCGCCCGCCUAGGAAACUUAAUUCUUGUUUUAUUUUGGAAUCUUCUGAGUAGUUUUUACAAAUAAAUAAAAACUUUCAACAACGGAUCUCUUGGUUCUGGCAUCGAUGAAGAACGCAGCGAAAUGCGAUAAGUAAUGCGAAUUGCAGAAUUCCGUGAGUCAUCGAAUCUUUGAACGCACAUUGCGCCCGCUAGUAUUCUGGCGGGCAUGCCUGUUCGAGCGUCAUUGCAACCCUCAGGCCCAGCCUGGCGUUGGAGGACUGCGCUGCAGCCUCCCAAAGCAAGCGGCGGCGGCGCCCCAAAACCGAACGCAGUAGUUACUUCUCGUUCUGGGUGUGGGACGUUGGCCUGCCGGAAAACCCCAUCUUUUUAGUGGUUGACCUCGAAUCAGGUAGGAAUACCCGCUGAACUUAA